GCUUCUUUUUCCACCGGAGCUUGCUCCACCGGAAAAAGAAGAGUGGCGAACGGGUGAGUAACACGUGGGUAACCUGCCCAUCAGAAGGGGAUAACACUUGGAAACAGGUGCUAAUACCGUAUAACAAUCGAAACCGCAUGGUUUUGAUUUGAAAGGCGCUUUCGGGUGUCGCUGAUGGAUGGACCCGCGGUGCAUUAGCUAGUUGGUGAGGUAACGGCUCACCAAGGCCACGAUGCAUAGCCGACCUGAGAGGGUGAUCGGCCACAUUGGGACUGAGACACGGCCCAAACUCCUACGGGAGGCAGCAGUAGGGAAUCUUCGGCAAUGGACGAAAGUCUGACCGAGCAACGCCGCGUGAGUGAAGAAGGUUUUCGGAUCGUAAAACUCUGUUGUUAGAGAAGAACAAGGAUGAGAGUAACUGUUCAUCCCUUGACGGUAUCUAACCAGAAAGCCACGGCUAACUACGUGCCAGCAGCCGCGGUAAUACGUAGGUGGCAAGCGUUGUCCGGAUUUAUUGGGCGUAAAGCGAGCGCAGGCGGUUUCUUAAGUCUGAUGUGAAAGCCCCCGGCUCAACCGGGGAGGGUCAUUGGAAACUGGGAGACUUGAGUGCAGAAGAGGAGAGUGGAAUUCCAUGUGUAGCGGUGAAAUGCGUAGAUAUAUGGAGGAACACCAGUGGCGAAGGCGGCUCUCUGGUCUGUAACUGACGCUGAGGCUCGAAAGCGUGGGGAGCAAACAGGAUUAGAUACCCUGGUAGUCCACGCCGUAAACGAUGAGUGCUAAGUGUUGGAGGGUUUCCGCCCUUCAGUGCUGCAGCUAACGCAUUAAGCACUCCGCCUGGGGAGUACGACCGCAAGGUUGAAACUCAAAGGAAUUGACGGGGGCCCGCACAAGCGGUGGAGCAUGUGGUUUAAUUCGAAGCAACGCGAAGAACCUUACCAGGUCUUGACAUCCUUUGACCACUCUAGAGAUAGAGCUUCCCCUUCGGGGGCAAAGUGACAGGUGGUGCAUGGUUGUCGUCAGCUCGUGUCGUGAGAUGUUGGGUUAAGUCCCGCAACGAGCGCAACCCUUAUUGUUAGUUGCCAUCAUUCAGUUGGGCACUCUAGCAAGACUGCCGGUGACAAACCGAAGGAAGGUGGGGAUGACGUCAAAUCAUCAUGCCCCUUA
rnacentral:rRNA from 1 species